UACGAAGGGUGCAAGCGUUACUCGGAAUUACUGGGCGUAAAGCGUGCGUAGGUGGUGAGUUAAGUCUGUCGUGAAAGCCCGGGGCUCAACCCCGGGAGGCGGAUGGAUACUGCAAGGCUCGAGUACGGAAGAGGCGAGUGGAAUUCCCGGUGUAGCGGUGAAAUGCGCAGAUAUCGGGGAGGAACACCAAUGGCGAAGGCAGCUCGCUGGGACGUUACUGACGCUGAGACGCGAAAGCGUGGGGGAGCAAACAGG
rnacentral:rRNA from 1 species